GACGAAAGUCUGACGGAGCAACGCCGCGUGAGUGAAGAAGGUUUUCGGAUCGUAAAGCUCUGUUGUCAGGGAAGAACAAGUACGGAAGUAACUGUCCGUACCUUGACGGUACCUGACCAGAAAGCCACGGCUAACUACGUGCCAGCAGCCGCGGUAAUACGUAGGUGGCAAGCGUUGUCCGGAAUUAUUGGGCGUAAAGCGCGCGCAGGCGGCUUCUUAAGUCUGAUGUGAAAGCCCACGGCUCAACCGUGGAGGGUCAUUGGAAACUGGGAGGCUUGAGUGCAGAAGAGGAGAGCGGAAUUCCACGUGUAGCGGUGAAAUGCGUAGAGAUGUGGAGGAACACCAGUGGCGAAGGCGGCUCUCUGGUCUGUAACUGACGCUGAGGCGCGAAAGCGUGGGGAGCGAACAGGAUUAGAUACCCUGGUAGUCCACGCCGUAAACGAUGAGUGCUAAGUGUUGGAGGGUUUCCGCCCUUCAGUGCUGCAGCUAACGCAUUAAGCACUCCGCCUGGGGAG
rnacentral:rRNA from 1 species